UACCCGUUCAUCAUCUUUCUAUCAAACAAUGUCUUCAUUCCACCUCCUCUCAUCAUUCCAUCCUUCCUUCCGUCUAUCUCUCUAUCUCUCCCUGUCCUCCCUGUCUCUCUAUACUGGGUCUGGGUCUCUGGGUCUUGGUCUCUGGGUCUGGGUCUUGGUCUCUGGGUCUUGGUCUCUGGGUCUCUAGGUCUCUGGGUGUCUGGGUCUCUGGGGCUUGGUCUCUGGGUCUGGGUCACUGGGUCUCUGGGUCUCUGGGUCUGGGUCUCUGGGUCUUGGUCUCUGGGUCUCUGGGUCUGGGUCGCUGGGUCUCUGGGUCUCUGGGUCUCUGGGUCUGGGUCUCUGGGUCUCUGGGUCUCUGGGUCUUGGUCUCUGGGUCUGGGUCUCUGGGUCUUGGUCUCUGGGUCUGUGUCGCUGGGUCUCUGGGUCUGGGUCUCUGGGUCGUGGUCUCUGGGUUGCUGGGCCUCUGGGUCUUGGUCUCUGGGUCUCUGGGUCUUGGUCUCUGGGUCUCUGGGUCUGGGUCGCUGGGUCUCUGGGUCUCUGGGUCUCUGGGUCUGGGUAUCUGGGUCUCUGGGUCUCUGGGUCUGGGUCUCUGGGUCUGGGUCUCUGGGUCUCUGGGUCUGGGUCGCUGGGUCUCUGGGUCUCUGGGUCUGGGUCACUGGGUCUCUGGGUCUCUGGAUCUGGGUCUCUGAGUAUGAGUCUCUGUGUCUAGGUCUGGGUCACUGGGUCUGUGGGUCUCUGGGUCUAGGUCUGGGUCACUGGGUCUGUGGGUCUCUGGGUCUAGGUCUGGGUCUCUGGAUCUGGUUCUCUGGGUAUGAGUCUCUGGUCUAGGUCUGGGUAUCUGGGUCUCUGGUUCUGGUUCUGGGUCUGGGUCUCUGAGUAUGAGUCUCUGUGUCUAGGUCUGGGUCUGUGGGUCUCUGGGUCUAGGUCUGGGUCACUGGGCCUGUGGGUCUUUGGGUCUGGGUCUGGGUCACUGGGUCUGUGGGUCUCUGGGUCUAG
ensembl:lncRNA